GCAAAAAAAAUAUGGUGCCCCAAAGGCCUUAAAGUGACUUCAAGGUCUGGCCUGAAGGGAACGUCACGAUUUGUUGAUAUUUUUCAUCUAUCCUUUGCCAAUAAUUCACAUAGCUUUGAUCCUUGUCAACCACGGAAUCAAGAUAGACACUCUACCAUGCUUGAACCAAGAACACAUCAUCCAUAUCUGUGUAGUGGCCCGUGCUCCCAACCCAACAUCAUAGUCAUCCUCGUCAAUCACUUGCAC
rnacentral:lncRNA from 1 species